rnacentral:rRNA from 1 species
GAUUGACCUCGGAUCAGGUAGGGAUACCCGCUGAACUUAAGCAUAUCAAUAAGCGGAGGAAAAGAAACCAACAGGGAUUGCCUCAGUAACGGCGAGUGAAGCGGCAACAGCUCAAAUUUGAAAUCUGGCUCCCUCGGGGCCCGAGUUGUAAUUUGCAGAGGACGUUUCGGGUGCGGCCCGGUCUAAGUCCCUUGGAACAGGGCGUCAUAGAGGGUGAGAAUCCCGUAUGUGACCGGUGACCAACCCCAUGUGAAACCCCUUCGACGAGUCGAGUUGUUUGGGAAUGCAGCUCAAAAUGGGUGGUAAAUUCCAUCUAAAGCUAAAUACUGGCCAGAGACCGAUAGCGCACAAGUAGAGUGAUCGAAAGAUGAAAAGCACUUUGGAAAGAGAGUCAAACAGUACGUGAAAUUGUUGAAAGGGAAGCGCUGGCAACCAGACCUGCCCCGGGCGAUCAGCGGGUGUUCUCACCCGUGCACUCGCCCGCGAUCAGGCCAGCAUCGGUUUCGGCGGUCGGAUACAGACCCGGGGAACGUGGCUCUCUUCGGGGAGUGUUAUAGCCCCGGGUGCAAUGCGGCCAGCCGGGACCGAGGACCGCGCUUCGGCUAGGAUGCUGGCGUAAU